UAGUUAAAUCGUCAAUUCAAUUAACCCCUGAAAUUUCGUAUCACGUUAACAUUCCAAUGAGUUGCAUAUUUCAGUAUUCACCGUUAAGUCUUUCUUUUGCUGUGUACUCAACUAAGUGCGUUGGGUACAAGUGUACUCAGACAAAUCCUUGUUUCUGAAAGUAGUAGUGGAGAUUACUUUCACAGCUUGAUUUGUUGGUUAUGUUUUGCUAUCAAACUGCGUAAUUACUUCUGGAUAUUUCCUUUUUAGUGUUAUGAAUAGUAAACGUAUACAAAUGAAAUAGGAGUAUUCUCACUCAUCCUAUCAAUAUCAUUUUCGUAAGAUAAUCGUAAAAUGUAACGAAUAUUUUGACACAUCCGAGUACAACGUGCAGGACCGUAUUCGACCUUCAGUAAAUACUACCGAAGUAUUGUUACACGUCCAAACUUCAAAUACCGAUGAUCAUUCCGUACUUACAUACUGAGUUAUGUUCAGUUGUGGACCUGAACUAUGUUACUCAUAUUAAGCAAAUUUUUUAAGUAUAAUUAAAACAACUCCUGCGCAUCAGGUAGGAUUGAUGAUGUUUUCCAAAAACACCCUGUUUUAGACGGAGUAAUCAGAUUGCGCAUCAUGGAAUAGGCCACAACAACCUUCUAACCUCACAAAAAUUAUGGAGGACAAGCAAACGCGUCAUUACAAGGGAUAUUCCUCAUUUGAAGAAUAUUUUCGUGAUUUUCGUUGUUCCAAGAUACAAAAGAGUGGUGUUUUAGUUCUUCAAGAACUCCAAGAAUAUUUAUUUGGCAAUCUGUAAUAGAUUCACGAAAUUGAAAACAAAGAAUGCCCAUUUCAUUGAAAUUACAAUAACGAAUCGAGAAGUGGCCGACGUUAUUCCCAGAAAAUAAGCAAGAUUGAAGAGUCUGAUCCACAUGCACCAUUCAAGAAACAGAUAUAAGUCACAGGCAUGAUGGAAUAUGGUGAUAUUGUGGUUUUUCCAGUUUCUACAAACAUCUUUCACACUCAAUCAGCAAAUGAAAGCCUUCAAGAGAUUAGCAACCUACAAAUACAAAAGCUUGCUCUUUAGGUUACACUAUAAAAUAUUUGGAACAAAAUGUUCGGGGCAAGUAUUUCACAAAAGAGUCGGCACAGAUGAAUGGUGCACAUGUAGAAAACGGAACCUGUAAUAAAAUGCUGCUAUGAGAAUUGUGAAAUUCUUUGGAUCCAUAUGAAAUUGGUCGGGUAGACCAUUGUUCCUGGCCUUUCGCUCUGCAGCGUUUGUACAGGUGGUGUAGAUGGAAUGAAAAUUUUUUCAAAAUGUAAAUACAUAAUAUUAUGUAAUUUAGUUGUAAUAAAUACUCUUGAAAAGA